rnacentral:rRNA from 1 species
GCUUAUGCGUUGUUGGGUAGGGGAGCGUUCUGUAAGCCUGUGAAGGUGGCCUGUGAGGGUUGCUGGAGGUAUCAGAAGUGCGAAUGCUGACAUAAGUAACGAUAAAGCGGGUGAAAAGCCCGCUCGCCGGAAGACCAAGGGUUCCUGUCCAACGUUAAUCGGGGCAGGGUGAGUCGACCCCUAAGGCGAGGCCGAAAGGCGUAGUCGAUGGGAAACGGGUUAAUAUUCCCGUACUUGGUGUUACUGCGAAGGGGGGACGGAGAAGGCUAUGUUGGCCGGGCGACGGUUGUCCCGGUUUAAGCGUGUAGGUGUGUGUUCCAGGUAAAUCCGGUUCACUUUAACACUGAGGCGUGAUGACGAGGCACUACGGUGCUGAAGCAACAAAUGCCCUGCUUCCAGGAAAAGCCUCUAAGCAUCAGGUAACAUCAAAUCGUACCCCAAACCGACACAGGUGGUCAGGUAGAGAAUACCAAGGCGCUUGAGAGAACUCGGGUGAAGGAACUAGGCAAAAUGGUGCCGUAACUUCGGGAGAAGGCACGCUGACAUGUAGGUGAAGUGAUUUACUCAUGGAGCUGAAGUCAGUCGAAGAUACCAGCUGGCUGCAACUGUUUAUUAAAAACACAGCACUGUGCAAACACGAAAGUGGACGUAUACGGUGUGACGCCUGCCCGGUGCCGGAAGGUUAAUUGAUGGGGUCAGCGCAAGCGAAGCUCCUGAUCGAAGCCCCGGUAAACGGCGGCCGUAACUAUAACGGUCCUAAGGUAGCGAAAUUCCUUGUCGGGUAAGUUCCGACCUGCACGAAUGGCGUAAUGAUGGCCAGGCUGUCUCCACCCGAGACUCAGUGAAAUUGAACUCGCUGUGAAGAUGCAGUGUACCCGCGGCAAGACGGAAAGACCCCGUGAACCUUUACUAUAGCUUGACACUGAACAUUGAGCCUUGAUGUGUAGGAUAGGUGGGAGGCUUUGAAGUGUGGACGCCAGUCUGCAUGGAGCCGACCUUGAAAUACCACCCUUUAAUGUUU